rnacentral:rRNA from 1 species
CCUACGGGAGGCAGCAGUGAGGAAUAUUGGUCAAUGGACGAGAGUCUGAACCAGCCAAGUAGCGUGAAGGAUGACUGCCCUAUGGGUUGUAAACUUCGUUUAUAUGGGAAUAAAAUGGUCCACGUGUGGGAUUUUGUAUGUACCAUAUGAAUAAGGAUCGGCUAACUCAGUGCAAGCAGCCGGGGUAAUACGAAGGAUCCGAGCGUUAUCCUGAUUUAUUGGGUUUAAAGGGAGCGUAGGUGGAUUGUUAAGUUAGUUGUGAAAAUUAGCGGCUCAACCGUAAAAUUGCAGUUGAUACUGGCAGUCUUGAGUACAGUAGAGGUGGGCGGAAUUCGUGGUGUAGCGGUGAAAUGCUUAGAUAUCACGAAGAACUCCGAUUGCGAAGGCAGCUCACUGGACUGCAACUGACACUGAGGCUCGAAAGUGUGGGUAUCAAACAGGAUUAGAUGCCCCAGUAGUC